AGUGAACGCUGGCGGUAGGCCUAACACAUGCAAGUCGAACGGCAGCACAGUAAGAGCUUGCUCUUACGGGUGGCGAGUGGCGGACGGGUGAGAAAUACAUCGGAAUCUACUUUUUCGUGGGGGAUAACGUAGGGAAACUUACGCUAAUACCGCAUACGACCUACGGGUGAAAGCAGGGGAUCUUCGGACCUUGCGCGAUUGAAUGAGCCGAUGUCGGAUUAGCUAGUUGGCGGGGUAAAGGCCCACCAAGGCGACGAUCCGUAGCUGGUCUGAGAGGAUGAUCAGCCACACUGGAACUGAGACACGGUCCAGACUCCUACGGAGGCAGCAGUGGGGAAUAUUGGACAAUGGGCGCAAGCCUGAUCCAGCCAUACCGCGUGGGUGAAGAAGGCCUUCGGGUUGUAAAGCCCUUUUGUUGGGAAAGAAAAGCAGCAGGUUAAUACCCCGCUGUUCUGACGGUACCCAAAGAAUAAGCACCGGCUAACUUCGUG
rnacentral:rRNA from 1 species